UACGUAGGGGGCAAGCGUUGUCCGGAUUCAUUGGGCGUAAAGAGCUCGUAGGCGGUUCAGCAAGUCGGGUGUGAAACCUCCAGGCUCAACCUGGAGACGCCACCCGAUACUGCUGUGACUUGAGUCCGGUAGGGGACCACGGAAUUCCUGGUGUAGCGGUGAAAUGCGCAGAUAUCAGGAGGAACACCGGUGGCGAAGGCGGUGGCCUGGGCCGGAACUGACGCUGAGGAGCGAAAGCGUGGGGAGCGAACAGG
rnacentral:rRNA from 1 species